UACGUAGGGUGCGAGCGUUAAUCGGAAUUACUGGGCGUAAAGCGUGCGCAGGCGGUUGUGUAAGACAGAUGUGAAAUCCCCGGGCUCAACCUGGGAACUGCAUUUGUGACUGCAUCGCUGGAGUGCGGCAGAGGGGGAUGGAAUUCCGCGUGUAGCAGUGAAAUGCGUAGAUAUGCGGAGGAACACCGAUGGCGAAGGCAGCCCCCUGGGUUAACACUGACGCUCAUGCACGAAAGCGUGGGGAGCAAACAGGAUUAGAUACCCGGGUAGU
rnacentral:rRNA from 1 species